UAAAUUAUGUAAAUUAGGGCUUCACAUCACCCACCAAAUUAGAGUUCUUUGGCCAUGGUGCUUUUAUCAUCCACAUUCAAACCCAAUUCGUAUAUCUAAUUUGUGACAGUUGUAACCCGUUUGCUCAAUUUGUGACAUGUUUGAAUCAUCCACAUUCAACCAGUUUCUUUCACUUAACAUGUUCUUGUAACUUCCCCCUUUUAAACCCAAUUCGUAUAUCUAAUUUAGGGUUCUUUGUGCAGUUUAAGGAAUAACACACAUAUGCAGCAGUAUUAUGGUGGCAUAAUAAGGAGACAACAACACUUAAUUAGGUGUUUGGGAGGUGAUCACCAAAGCAACAACACCCUUCUUUCAGUCACAAGAAUGCAAUCUGUGAUGAAUCCCACUUUAGAAGCUGAAACUCUUUAGUAUUUUGAGGUCAAUUUCUCCUACCCUUGAUUCAUCUAAGCAUAAAGGUCAACCUGGAAAGAUACCAGUUGCCGUGAAUACACCGGUGCACUCUACUUCUCUGCGAUUUCGGCUCUUAAAAUUGUUAGUCUGCACUGUUUUAACUCGUCGUUUCUUUUGGGCUGCUAUCCAUACACAACUGAUGUGCCAUACGCAUGUUAAUCAAGAUUGCAAACCACUCCCUCCUUGUGUUAAGGGGCAUUAAAUAGGUUGUAUGUUAACAUGUUAACCGAAUGUUAAGAGACAGAUUUAAUUAUU